AACAUAGGUCUCAUGUAUAAUUACUUACUAACCUAUAAUUCUAUGACGAAUGACAAUUCAUAGAUUUGACUUUUAUUACAUAAGUAGAAUAAAACAAGAAGAUUUAUAAUUUUAAUUGUACAAAGUAUUUUUACUUUUUGCUUUUUGUACUCUAACUGUAGGUUUUUAGUAGGAUAGCUUUUAGUGUUUAUGUGAGAUUUAUAUACUUCCUAUUAAAGGAAGCACGGGAAGAGGAAUGUUUGAAUAGCGGAAGAUUAUCUUUAACCAAAUAAAGAUAUCGCGUUAACAUUAGUGAAAUCAAAAUAACGGGGAUACGUUUCACCGAUUUGUUAAGAGAUUUUACUUUAUUACAGGAUUUCAUAUACGAUACCUUGUAUACUUGCGUAAUAAAAUGGAGAAUUUCAUAAAAAGUAGGAUUAAUCAAUUUAUCUUCUGAUAGGUUCAAAUAUAGAAUCUGAUAACAAAUGCUUUAUUAGAAAAUAAUGUUCUGUCAACGAAAUUUCAAGACGGUUGCCGGAUGGAUCGUCCUCGCAAGGUAAUUCGGAAAAGGAUGUUAUUCCUCGGGCGUGAAAAGUGUUCACUUGUAGCUAUUACGCGUUAUAUAUUGCGCCUGGCUGUAAUGCUUGGUGAAAGGGUUAAAACCCCGGACAGAACGAAUACAUUUCGCCCCGAUGGAGAAGGGGAACAGGAAGCUAAGACGUUUAUUAUAAAGGGAAAGAGAAACGGAACGACGUAAACUGUGCGCCAUUUACAUACAAUAUAUCCACGAGUAAACCCGCAUUUUCUACUGUAUGUGACAUCUAGGUCCUUUGCGACAGUCCAGGAGACGAAAUGUUUCGCCCGCGCGAUGAUUUACAUCGCAAACACUCGAUGCAUGAAUGUGUUCCUAGCCACGCAAACAACAAGAAAAGCUUCAUUGAAAAAGCAGUGACAUGUCGACCGAAGAAAUUUCAAUCUAUAUCGUUGAAUCUCGGAUGCAAAUGUUUGAUCCUUUUAAAUAUGGCUUUCGUCAAUGGACGACGAAACGAAAAUUUCAGUGAGUGGUAUUAAAAUCUUAAAUGAUUUUGAGAUGAAAGAAUCGCUUAUUGAAGACUCUAUUUUAUGAUAAUUAUAUAAAUAAUUAUAGCUUUGUGUUUAUACUAUAAAAUUGGGAACGAUUUAUGGAAUUAUACCCGUAUUUAAAGGGUUACAAUACAAAGGGCUACAAUAACCAGAUAGCAAGUUUCGUGGAUCGAAUCUAUUAAUACGCUCGGUCGAUAAAUUAUCGAGCAAGUUAACUGCAUAACUGACUUUGUCAGAAUUAGGAGGUAAUCGACAAUUUAACAAAUUUUCGAGUAUAAGAAUGUAUUAUUUUAUGAAAUCGCUUUUCGUCCACGUUUUCUGAAUAAAAAUAGUUGACGAAAAGCGGAAAAGGAAUAUCAUGAAUAUCUAUGGGAACAUUGAAAUUCUAAGAGGUUAGGAUCUCUUAACGGAAGACUCUCGGACGGAAGUUCUUGUCAAACAUGAAAAAAGGCUAAUGCAUAAUGUAGAAAAAGAGAAAGGAAACGAAGAUAAACGCCUGGUGGUGACAUGUAUGCAAAUCGCUCGUGAUCGGACGUGUAGAGUGCAUCAAUCAAAUUUUGGAUGUCAUGAUUUGUGUUACUGUAAUGUAUAAAUAAUCGAACGUUUCUUUAAAUAUUCCUAACUUGUAGAAUACAAGAAUGAUAUGUAUAUAUUCUUCAAUACAUUUUUAUAUUUUGAUGAAAGAAUAUCAUUCUGAAUUUCAAGUCCAAAAUAGAGAAACUAUUAAACGUUAUAUUAAAACCGAUUAAAUUAAAAUAUACUUAAACCUG